rnacentral:piRNA from 1 species
UCCAGAAGUUGAAAUUCCUCA